GAUGUGAAAAAAAAAAAAAAAGAAGAGCUUGCUUCUUCUCAGCACUGAGUGGUGGUUGCGGCGGGGUUACGGUUCUGCUAGUCAAACAGCUAAACAGCUUUCCUCCUCCAGUGUCUGAAGAUCUGGUCUACACCCUCCCGGGCAUGCAGCCUUAGAAUUAAUGGUCAAGCUCCAUGAAGGCAGGCACUGGGAAGAAGAUUUGGACCCAAUUGAAGAAAGAAGUUCCUAACAGGAAUUGAGAAGGUGCCACCGACAGCCUUAAAAUUACAUCACAACAAAGACAGGACAGUUAAAACCAUGUACGUCAACUUGUGGGGGGAAUGCCAGAUUUGUGGAUCACGUGGCCUGGGGCAAAAGCUUCGACCUCACCCCUCGGGCAAACACAGUGGUGGCUACAUUGCACACGUCGGUCUGUAGUGAAUCAAGACCUCGAAAUUCUACAUGAGGAUAUCGAAUCUCUUCAAAUUGCAAAAAUAUUUUAGACACUCUUUCACCUCUUGAAACCCCUGCACCUAUUAUUGUAUCCUCUUCCUGAAACCCUUACAGCCUGUUUCAGGUAUAUAAUGCUGCAUAACAAAGUGCCCCACACAUAAUGCUUUAAAACCACAAAAAUCUUUAUUUUGCCCCCAAAUCUGCAAUUUAGGCUGGCUGAGAGGAAACAGUUCACCUCUGCUUCACUCAGUGUCAGCUGGGUGCCAUGAAGCCUGGGGGCUGGAAUUAGCCAAAGGUGGGCUCCUGGGCAUCUCCUUCUAGUGUGUGUGGCUUUUCCACGUGGUGUCUACAGCAUGGCAGCUUCAGGGUAGCCAGACUUCUUACCAGUCAGCUCAGGGCUCCCGAGGCAUGUAUCCCAAGAGAGAAAGAACCAAGGAGAAGUUGUAUUGCCUUUGGGUGACCUGGCCUCAGAAGUCAUAUGCAUCGCUUCUCUGCCCUCUCUGGGUGGAAGCAGUCACAGGCUGCCACCCAGAUUCAAGAGCAGGGAACACAGAACCCCCUACUUCCCCAUGUGAGGCAUGCCAGUCCCAUUGUGAGAGGAGCACGUGGGACGGGAGAUAUAUCAUGGUGAAUAUAUCUCUGAAAAGUAUAAUCUGUAUCCACUCUUUUUCUGUCUGAAAAACUCGUGCUUCAAGACCCAGCUCAAAUAUCACCUGCUUUAUAGAGCUCCCCGCCCAUCCCCGCCAUCUCCCUGAGGGCUAGUUACCUCCUCGAUGGGGCCUAAUUGCACCUGGUACAUCUGCCUUCAGAGCACUUAGCACCCUGAAAGGGUGCUGUCUGUCUCUUUCUGGAGACUGUGAACGGUGAGUUCUUCAAGGUCUGGAGCUGUGACAUGUAUUUCAAUGCUCCUAGCUUUCGGUCCUGGGGAGGUGCUUAGGAAAUAGACGUUGCUACAAGCUAGAUGGGGGUUCUCAUACCCUGGACUACCUGCAGCAGAAUGCCUGGGUGCUUAAUCAAAAUGCAGACUCCCAGAUCUGCAUCAAACCUGCUGCACUGACUCUUGGGGGCGGGGCCAUAGAAGCUACAUUUAUUCAACUCCUUGGAUGACUCCAAUGGGUAUCAACCUUUGCAAGCUAUUGUAUCCCCAAUGCCUAGUACCAUGCCUGGCACGUGCUUGCCACUCAAUAAAUACCUGCUGAAUGAAUAAGUGAGUGAAUGAAUAAAUAUUUUUAGACUCGACUAGGUACACAAGAGUCAGUUUGCUCU